GACGAACGCUGGCGGCGUGCUUAACACAUGCAAGUCGAACGGGAUUUAGUAAACAGAAGCCUCGGUGGAAGAUUACUAAUGAGAGUGGCGAACGGGUGAGUAACGCGUGAGCAACCUGCCUAUGACAGUGGGAUAGCCUCGGGAAACCGGGAUUAAUACCGCAUAAAAUCGUAGAAACACAUGUUUUAACGGUCAAAGAUUUAUCGGUCAUAGAUGGGCUCGCGUCUGAUUAGCUAGUUGGUGAGAUAACAGCCCACCAAGGCGACGAUCAGUAGCCGGUCAGAGAGGAUGAACGGCCACAUUGGAACUGAGGCACAGUCCAAACUCCUACGGGAGGCAGCAGUGGGGAAUAUUGCACAAUGGGGUAAACCCUGAUGCAGCGACGCCGCGUGAACGAAGAAGGUAUUCGUAUCGUAAAGUUCUGUCCUAUGGGAAGAUAAUGACAGUACCAUAGAAGAAAGCUCCGGCUAAAUACGUG
rnacentral:rRNA from 1 species